rnacentral:pre_miRNA from 1 species
AAUAAGUGUAGUUUUGCACUAUUCACGUUUAACGUUUGACCAUUCGUCUUAUUUGAAAAUUUUUUAUGAUUAGUAUUUUUAUUGCUAUUAGAUGAUAAAACAUGAAUAGUAAUUUAUGUGUGACUAAAUAUUUUCAAAUUUUUCACAAAUUUUUCAAAUAAGACGGACGGUCAAACGUUGGGUACGGAUAUCCACGGCUGCACUUAUU